AGUUUUAUUUUUCAACUCUCUGGGAUCGGUUAUCGUAACGUAAAUACGAAUAAAAGUAGAAAAAUCAAAGCAAAACUGAUUUAACUAAAAAGGAAUGAAUUAAAGAAACAAAAAACAAUUUAUGAAUUUUAAAUACACCUUCAAUUAAAAAAGAAAUUUUCAAUAAAUUAAAUAAGAAUUUUAAAAAAUAGCAAAAAUCAUUUAAAAAUCUACAAAUUUAACUUCCAAAAAGGAAAAGCAGAAAACAAAGUGUGUUAAAUAUUGAAACUUAAUAAAUCAUUUAAAAGGAAUUCUUUUGCCAACUUACAAAAAGAAUUAAAAAUAAAAUAUUUGUGCAAUAAUUACAAAUCAAAAAUUAUUUGUUAAACAACUUAAGAAAAACGAAACUAAAUAUUAGUUUCAAUAAAUUUUUCUUGUAAAAUUUAACAAAGUUUAAGUAAAAAACGCAACUUUUCGCCACUACUACUAAAAUCGUUUAACGAUACAAAAAAAAUAAUAAAUUUUUCUUUCUAAAACUGUUAAUAAAAACAAUACCAAAAUUUUUGUCACAAUGAGUGUGUGUGAAAAUAGCAACUCAGUUGUUCAACAACAUCAGCAGCAAGUUCCGCCACAGCAUCUGCAAGCGGCUCAACAACAGCAGCCCCAGCUGCAGCAACAGCAGCAAACCCAACAGCAAAGUACACAAAGUAUUGCUGAUUAUUUGGCUCAGCUACUUAAGGAUCGUAAACAGUUGGCUGCAUUCCCAAAUGUUUUCAAUCAUGUCGAACGUCUACUUGACGAAGAAAUUGCCCGUGUUCGUGCCUCACUAUUUCAAAUAAAUGGCGUUAAAAAAGAACCUUUAAUGUUGCCAGAACCAGAAGGAGCACCGGUUACAUUAAAUGAAAAAGUCUACGUACCUGUCAGAGAACACCCAGAUUUUAAUUUCGUGGGUAGAAUUUUAGGCCCUCGUGGUAUGACCGCCAAACAGUUGGAACAAGAAACAGGCUGUAAAAUUAUGGUCAGAGGCAAAGGAUCAAUGAGAGAUAAAAAGAAGGAAGAUGCUAAUAGAGGCAAACCCAAUUGGGAACAUUUAUCAGAUGAACUACAUGUCUUGAUUACCGUCGAAGAUACAGAAAAUCGUGCCAAAAUCAAAUUAAGUCAAGCCGUCGCUGAAGUACAAAAACUACUCAUACCGCAAGCGGAAGGCGAAGAUGAGCUUAAGAAACGUCAACUGAUGGAAUUAGCAAUAAUUAAUGGCACUUAUAGGGAUACAACCGCCGUCAAAAAUGCAGCUCAAGUUUGUGAUGAAGAUUGGCGUCGUGUUGUAGCCGCUGCCUCGGCUGAUAAUCGUCUCUUGACUCAGGCCAGUCUGCCUGGUUUGGCUCAACAAAUGCGCGCCCCUACUGCUGCCCCACUGGGCGCUCCUUUAAUACUGUCACAGCGCAUGACGGUGCCCACAACAGCGGCGAGCAUAUUAUCGGGUACUGCAACACCUGCUAAUGCAUUUGAAAAUCCUGCUCAUGGCAUGAUUUUUGCUCCAUACGCCGAUUAUAAUCUCUACAAUACCGCCCUCACUGGAAAUCCUUUGCUGACGGAAUACGCAGAUCAUAGCGUAGGAGCCAUUAAACAACGACGUUUGGCGGCUAAUCGUGAACAUCCAUAUCAGAGAGCUGCUGUGGGGGUCCCAACUAAGCCAGGCUUUAUAGAGAUCCAAUAAAAAAAAAGUGUUUUCUCUGCGAAAAAAACAAAAAAAUACAUAAAAGUGAAUUUCAUUUUUUUUUACCUAAAUUAAUUUUAACUAAACAUUAAUUAAUUUUGUUUACAUAAUUGAGCUAAAGUUUAAAAAUUUUGUCGUUUUUCUUUUAAGUUUAAAAAAAAAUUAAUAACAAUAUUGUGUUAUAUUUUAUAAUUUCCAUUUUCUUUUUUAUUCACACUUCAUAACAAACGAACAAAUCUUCUUUUUAUGUUGGUGAAAAAGUUUAAUUUUAUUUUAAAACAAAAAAAAAAAAAAAAAGUAAGAAAAAAGCCUGUUUUUAGAAGGGGCCCCUCCCUGGCAUAUUGAUUGUUGUAACCAAAUAGUUAAAUAUCUCUGAUGUGUGUAAAAUGACUUGAUUUGUAUGCAUUAAAAGCAAAACUAUUUAACCAUAAUUCUUACAAAAUUACAAAACUCAAUUUUUACAGCUUAAAACAGGUAGAUGACUAAAAAGUAAAAAAUUACAGAAGAAAUAAAACCUGUGUUUAAGCUGCAACUACUCUGAAAUUAAAAAAAAAACAAACUUCUCAACUAAAAUAACAACAAUGACUACUACAGGAUUUAAACAACAACAAACUCAAAAUCAUCUUUAAUAACAAAGGAAAGAAGAGUCUCAUCAACAACUAAAAAAAAGUGGAAAACACUU